CCCACAAGCUCAAUUUCAAGCGCUUUAUGGUUCCCUCUGUUUCUCUGAAAUGGAUCUUUCUCAUACCAAAAUUAGAAUUUCACCAAACAUGAUCGCCAAUUGUAGUGCUCAGUGUAAUCCUAGCAAUCAUGAUGCCAAGUGUGAUGAUUCUUGUAUCCAAUUCUGUUUAAAUAUUUGUAUAGGCAAUAUUGGAAAAUCACCACCACCACUACCUCCAGUACGGCCGCUACUACUGCCUCAUCCGAAUAAUGAAACUCGAAAUCAUAUGAUCUUAACCAGC
rnacentral:misc_RNA from 1 species